UCCACGCCGUAAACGAUGCACACUAGUUAUUGUGAGACAAGUUCUUGCAGUAAUGCAGCAAACGCAAUAAGUGUGCCGUCUGGGGAGUACGGUCGCAAGAUUAAAACUCAAAGGAAUAGACGGGGACCCGCACAAGCGGUGGAGCAUGUGGUUUAAUUCGAUGAUACGCGAAGAACCUUACCUGGCCUUGACAUCCCAAGAAUCUCUUAGAGAUAAGAGAGUGCUAGCUUG
rnacentral:rRNA from 1 species